rnacentral:lncRNA from 10 species
AGAGAAGUUCACAGGGAGCACACAUGCCCUUGAGUGCUGAGCUAAGGACCUGGAAAAGAACCACUGUGAAUUCUGCAGCUAUGGAAACCCUGGGGCUGCCUGUGGUCAGAGAGGGGCUUCAAGAUCAGUGAUUUUCCAGCAGCUGGGAGAAUGGACUGGAACAGAUACCCCCUGAACCGUUCUGACAGCCCAGAUUAGAAGGGGGAAGGUGGAGGAAAGGCACAGACAAUUCAGAAGAAGAAAAAAAAGCGAUCGUCUGCCCUUCCCACGUCUUCGCCGAUCAGUCCCCACUUUCCAGCCUGCACAAGUGCCUUGGAGCCCUACCCUUUGGAUGCAGCCAAAGCCAUUCCUAGCAGCCCUUGAGGGUUCUAACAACACAACUGUGGAGUCAGAGGUGGGUGCUCCUUUUUCUCACCUCUCGAAAGUCCUGUCUCCUGGGAUCCCAAGGCUUCAUCCAGGGACAGCUACAUGUAAAUCAGGAAGAGAAAUCUGCUGUGGAAAAGGUCUCCAUUGACCAACUGCUCCUCUGGUCUCUGCCUGUCCAGCAGACAAGUGCACUGCAGUAAUGAAAUCCACGACUUCCCACCUCUGCCAGUGAAGAGUCAGCAUGUACCGUGUGAAAGCCAGGAAGGCUCAUCUGUCUCGUGAGUGAUUUCCUUUCCUAAGGAAGGCCCUCCAAGGAGCCAUGCAUCUCUGGAACGGAUCACCCAUGCUGACAGAACUGAAGAUUGAACCUCUAACUAACAUGACUUGUGCAGGUGACAGGGAAAUUGUUUGUAAUAUAACUUCAUUUCUUUAAAAGCAGCUACGGAUUUAUACUUGGGUGAAAUUAUAUCCCACAUACUAAUUUAAUAAACUCCUCUAAGCUUACACAGAGUCUCUUCUUGGAAAAGGAUGUGUUUCUGAUCCACUGGCCAGUGCACUGAAUGAUUUCCCACUACAACCCAAGGGAGAGGGAGUAGUGAAGACUGAAAACUAGGCAAAGCCAAUUCGUAUUCUGAUGAAACUUUACAAAUGCUGCUUAUGACAAAACCCAGUUGUAAAAACUAAAGGGUAAGGUGAACACCCAAACCCUGCCAUUAAAAUAACAAAGAAAGGGGCUCCCUGCUACCUUUGGUUAAUCUUUUCCAGUGGAACCUUCUUGUCUUGUGUCUCAUUACCUCAAGUCCCAAGAUUUCCAACCCUGGGUAAAGACUGUCUCCUCAGGGCCAGGCACAGUGGCCCAUGCCUGAAAUCCCAGCAAUUUGGGAGGCCGAGG